rnacentral:piRNA from 2 species
UGACCAAGGGGGAGUCCUGUGGUGGCGUC